rnacentral:rRNA from 1 species
UGAGGAAUAUUGGGCAAUGCCCGCAAGGGUGACCCAGCAACGCCGCGUGGAGGAUGAAUGUCGUAAGAUUGUAAACUCCUGUUAGAGGGGAAGAAUAGUACCGGUUGGACCGGUAUAUGACUGUACCCUCAGAGAAAGCCCCGGCUAACUACGUGCCAGCAGCCGCGGUAAUACGUAGGGGGCAAGCGUUGUCCGGAUUUACUGGGUGUAAAGGGCGCGCAGGCGGGAUAAAAAGUCAGUGGUGAAAUCCUACAGCUUAACUGUAGAACUGCCUUUGAUACUUUUAUUCUUGAGUUCGGGAGAGAGUGACGCAAUUCCAGGUGUAGUGGUGAAAUACGUAGAUAUCUGGAAGAACACCAGUUGCGAAGGCGGUCUCUUGGUCCGACACUGACGCUGAGGCGCGAAAGCGUGGGGAGCAAACA